ACGCACGCUGGCGGCGCGCCUCACCCCUGCCAGUCGAACGGAGCUGAGAGAAGCUUGCUUUUCUUAGCUUAGUGGCGAACGGGUGAGUAACGCGUGAGUAACCUGCCCUGGAGUGGGGGACAACAGUUGGAAACGACUGCUAAUACCGCAUAAGCCCACGAUCCGGCAUCGGAUUGAGGGAAAAGGAUUUAUUCGCUUCAGGAUGGACUCGCGUCCAAUUAGCUAGUUGGUGAGGUAACGGCCCACCAAGGCGACGAUUGGUAGCCGGACUGAGAGGUUGAACGGCCACAUUGGGACUGAGACACGGCCCAGACUCCUACGGGAGGCAGCAGUGGGGGAUAUUGCACAAUGGGGGAAACCCUGAUGCAGCGACGCCGCGUGGAGGAAGAAGGUUUUCGGAUUGUAAACUCCUGUCGUUAGGGACGAUAAUGACGGUACCUAACAAGAAAGCACCGGCUAACUACGU
rnacentral:rRNA from 1 species